GCGGGCGUGGCGGAACUGGCAGACGCGCGGGAUUUAGGUUCCCGUGUCCGCAAGGACGUGGAGGUUCGAAUCCUCUCGCCCGCA
rnacentral:tRNA from 1 species